rnacentral:sRNA from 1 species
CAUUGUAAGUUAUCCCUAACUAAAUGUUGUCCUAAUAUAAGAGUUGCCUUGGUCAUGGUAUCUCUUACAAGGUCACAGAAUGGAACAAACAAACUUAAAAGAAAGAACAAAAACAAAACCCAAGAAGUUUAGAGACACAACCAAAAUCAAUGAACUCAAAAGAUGAAAAUGUCUGCGUAGUACCCAAGAAAACACAAACAUAAGGCUGAAAUGACAUGAUGAAAAGAAUACAGGUCUUUAGAAAAGAGAAAUAAUGAAGAGACCUCAAGCUGAAAUGAAGGUAGAAUUGAAAAACAACACAAAUAGAAAACUCAGAGAAAAUCUUUACAAGUAAAAUUAAUAGAAUAUAAGUUAUAUUUUAUAGUCUAUACCUAUCUGUUACCUACAUACCUAUAUAGGUAAAAAUUAUAUUUAGAUAAACGUACAUAUAAAUAGACAAACAAAAAACCCUGAAGUGCAAAACAAAACACAGAAAAAGAACUGUGGGACUCAUGAAAAACCAAAUCUUUGAUUUUUGGCCAUAUGGUAAUAGACAAGAUGUUCAAAAGGAUCAUAGAAGAAAACUUUCAAACUAAGGAAAGAUAAAACCAGAUGGUCUCAGAAGCACAGCUGUUAACACCAAAUAGACAAGAACAUAAAUAAAAUGCCUACAUUAUCAUAGCUAAAACACAAACAAGAACCAAGAGUAGUGAAAGUGCCAAGAGGAUAAUUGCUAGUCACACAAAGGAAAAGCCAUCGGAGUAACAGCUGACUUCACAAAGGAAACUCUCAAAGCCAGCAGAGCACAAGUUUUACACAACCAACUAUCUAGACUACCUUACUCAAUAAAGCCAUCUGCUAUAGUUGAAGGAGAAAGAAAAACUUCCCAUGAUGCAAAUAGGCUAAAAAAAAUUCAUGUCCAGAAAACCAAGCCUGAAGAGAUCACUAGAAACAAUACUUCUGAAUGAAGAGUAAACACAGCCAAGAGACCCUAGAAGGAAGACAAAUGAAGCUAUAACUAAUGCAAUACUAAUUACAACCAAGAACAUAAACAGCAGACUGUAGAUAUAAUUAAUGUCUGUGCACUCUGUAAAGGCAUUCACCUAUCAAUAAAAAGCUGAUUGGCCAAUGAGCGGAGGCAGAAUCAGAAAGUGGACACCUGGCAGAGAGAGAAAGAGAGGCUUCUGGGAAACAGUCAGGUGUGGCGAUUUGCCCUAAAUACUGAAGGAAACAUGAAACCGAGGAGAGGUAACCAAUCUUGGUGGGAUUUAGAAUAAAAUAAAUAGAUAACGAAGUUAUGAGCUGGUGGAAACAAGUCAAAGCUUAUGGCCUAAGCAUUAUUCAUAAAUAAUAAGGCUCAGAGUUGUUAUUUAUAGGGACAAAGAGGCUGGGUGGAAAAGCAACCAAACUAAAACAACAACCAACCAACCGACCGCUACCAACACAAAAACUAAAAUGACAGUAAUCAACACAGGCCUGUCAAUAAUUUUAAACCUUAAUAGCCUCAAUUCUCAAAUCAAAAGCCACAGUCUGGCUGAAUGAGUGAAGAUACAAAGUCUAUCUUUCUGUCAUCUACCAAGAAACUCAGCUUUAAAGAUUACAGGCACCAUGUUAAGGGGAAGAAUGGAAUAAAGCAAGAGUAACAGUAAGCAAGCAGGUGUUACUAUCCUAUUAGCUGACAACACAGGCUUCAAACAACUAAUUAAAAGGGAUAAAGGGCACUUCUUUUUAAUCAAGGGUACAGUUCAUCACGAAGAUAUUAUCAUCUUAAUAUAUAUGCACUGAAAUUGAUGAAUCCAAUUCAUGUGUACUAUGAGAAUUGAAAGCAGAUUAUUAUCAAUCAACUAAUAGGCGAUUUCAAUAACCCAUUUCCUCCAAUAGACAGGUCAAGUGGACAAAAAAUAGAGAAAUAGCAGAAAUAAAUGAUAUUAUACAGUCAACGGACUUAACAGAUAUCUACACUCAAACACCAAAGAAUAUUCAUUCUACUCAGCAGUCAUGGAAGCGUCUGUAUAAUAAAUACCUUGUAACAGAAAACAAUUCUUAACAAAUUCAGAAAAAUCAACUCUGUGUAUCUUAUCUGUCCAUAUGAAAUAAAAGCUAAGUCAAUACCAAGCAAAUCUCCAGUACACAAAAAUUCAUGGAGAUUAAACACCCCAUUACUGGAAAAUGAUGGGACAGAGAAGAAACCCAAGAAGUAAAAAAAAUUUCCUGGAACUAAAAGAAAAUAAAGCCACAAUGCAACCAAGUCUCUGGGAGACAUUGAAAGCAGGGAGAGUUAUAGCCCUGAGUGCCUACAUUACAGAAUAUAAAGACUACUAACAAAUGACUUAAUGAUGCAACUAAAGUUUUGGAAAAAGAUAACAAAUCCAGUAGAUGGCAAGACAUAAUAAAUAUCAGAGCAGAAACCAGUGAAAUGGAAGCAAAGAAAACAAUACAAGAAUCAACAAAUUCAAGAGCUGGUUCUAUGAGAGGAUAAACAAGGUUGACAGACCCUUGGCCUAACUAACCAAAAGAAUGAAAGGGCCCAAAUUAACAAAAUCAAAAAUAAACAGGGAAACAUUACAACAGACAAAAGAAAUUCAGAAUAUUAUAAGGGAGUAAUUAAAAAGCCCAUAUGCCAUUAUGUUGAAAAAUCUAAAAGAAAUGGAUGAAUUUUUAGAGUCAUCCAAACUAUCACAGUUACAACAAUCUAAACAGACCCAAAACAAACGAGAUUGAAAAAUAAGGGUUUUGUUUAAAAAAAAAAAAAGCCCAGAUGAAUUCACACUUUCAAAGAUCUAAGCCAAUCUUUAAUCCUCCCACUAUGAUGCAUGCCAACACAUGCCAAUAUCACUCUAUCCCCAAUGCCAGGGAAAGACACAACAGAAAAACCUACAGGCCUUAUACCCUGGAUGAAAAUACUUUUUUAAAAAGUUCUCAAUAAGGGUUGGAGAGAUGACUUAGAGGUUGGGGGCAUUGGCUGCUUUUGCAGAGGACCCAGGUUCAAAGCUUAGCACUCACAUGGCAGCUUGCAAAUAUCUAUAACUCUUAAGAUCUGACACCUUUACACAGACAUGCAUGAGGCGAAACACCAAUGCACAUAAAUGUAAAUAAAGUUAUUUAAAAAAUCCUCAAUAAAUAUAUAUCAAAAAGAUUACCCACCAUGACCAAGGUGGCUUUAUCCUAAGAUGGUAAAUGUAAAUGUAACAGAUGAUAUAAGUAGAAUUAACAAGAAAAAUCACAUGAUCAGUAGAUGCUGAAAAAGCCUUUGACAAAAAUCUAAAAUAUCAUCACAAUAAAGGUCCGAGACAGUAGUACUGGAGGGAAUAUUUUUCAGCAUAAUUAAAGCUAUAUGUGUCAAACUCACAGCCAACACCAUCCUAAAUGGAGAAAACUUUGAAGCAAGCCCAUUGAAAUCAGGAACAAGGCAGGGCUGCCCACUGUCCCCACUCCUUGUCAAUAUAGCUUCAUGUACUAGCUGGAGCAAUAAGGCAAGAGAAGGAAAUUAAAGAAAUACAAAUAAGAAAAGGAAAAUACCUGUACUUGUAGGUAGUAUAAUAUGAUAAUUAAGAGAUCUCAAAAAUUCUAACAGAAAACAUCUAGAAAUGAUCAAAAUAAUUUCAGGAAAGUGGCAGGAACCAGAAUCGACUUACAUAAAUCAAUGGGUCUUCUAUACCCCAACAACAAUAAAAACAGAGAAAGAGAUCACGGACACACUCCUAUUCACAACUGAAAUGGCUAGAAGAAAAUAUAGGUAGCAUCCUACAUGAUAUAAGUGUAGGAAAGGAUUUUAUGGAUAGGACUCAAUUUGCUUAGGAAUUAAGGCCAACAACUGACAAGUGGGACUUCAUAAAACUGAAAAUCUUCUAUAUAGCCUAAGAAACAAUCAACUGAGUUAAGAGGAAGCCCUCAGAGGGGGAGGGAAUGUUUGCAGGUAUAUACCUGACAUGAUUUAUACUCAAAAUAAUCAAAAAGAAAUAAAAGUAGCUAAGAAAUCUUAAAAAAGAAAACAAAAACUAACAACAAACAGCCAACAACCAAAAACCCAGAACAACAUCCUUAGAAAUUAGGGAAAUGUAAAUCAAAACAACCGAGUUUUAACCUUCCACCAGCCAGAAUGACUAAGCCCAACAAAACAACUAGGAAACAUGGAAAGGAAAAACCCUAUUUCCUGUUGGUGGGAUUGGAAUCUGGUGCAGUAACAUUGGAAAUGAGUGUGGAGAAUUCUCAAAAGGAUAAAUACAUCUGCUACAUGACUCAGCUAUACUAUUCCAUGGCAUAUGACCCAAAGGAUUCCAGCCUACUCUGGACACUUGCUCAGCAAUGCUUGCCGUUACUCUACUGACAGUAGCUAGGGAGUGGAAGCAUUCUAAAUGCUUUUCAACUGAAGAUAAUAAAAAUGUGGGGACAUAUACACUAUGGAAUAAAUCAUGCACUUUGCAGAUAAAUAGAUGGAACUAAAAACUAUGAUUCUGAGUAUGAGGUAACCAGAAAACUGUCUUCUAGAUAGAACAGGGAAGUUUCACCAUGAAAUCUCAAUAAUAUGGUGCCUAAA